UUCCAACAGGUGUGCAGGUCCUAAAUGGAAGCAGAGGGGCUUCGGAUCGACUCCGAGCUCCGAUACGCUUCUUCUGCUUUAUAGACUCAAGACUCGACUUAGACUCUGGGUCUCUGUCUUUAUCUGCUUUGGUCAGGAGUGAAAUUAAGUCUGUAUGUAAGUCACAGACCACAACUCUCGACAGGUGAGCCGGAUCAUGAGGUGUUUUUUUUUUUUUUUUUUUAUUUUUUUUUUAGCUUUGUACAAUUACAGUUUGUUCACUGAUUAAUUGCUUAUGACAAUCUGUUAAUGCUGGGUGAUAUGCCUCAAGCCCUUCUUGUUGUUUCUGAACAAAAUGAAUGUUCCUCUUGCGUCCCAUUUACAAACAGUAAUUUCUAGUUAUUCAAAGUAAAAACUUCACUGCGUUUCACCCUUUUUUUUAUUACAUACCUUAAGUUUAAUACUGAGACAUGCGUAAAACAAAUGUUUUAAAGAAGAUUUCAAUCACGACGUCCUAAUAAUCUUGCAAAUCUUCCGACUCUGAGAAGAAAAGGUCUCCACAGCCAACUCUGUAGUUAAUGACUGGAAAGUUUAAAUGUAGACACUGGCAGUUCUUCAAAAUAAAGCGCUUCCUGCUUGAUUUAUUCAGCUGUUCAUCACAGCAAUCCAUGUUUAAAUUGCUAAUGGGUUAGAUAUUGAGCUGUUCAAAGUAGAUUAUUAGUAUUUUUGCCUGUUGGAUUAAAUGUCAGAGGAAACUGUUGAAUUUCCACGUUCAGGAUUUUAUUUCCUAAUCUACAGUGGUGUGUUAUAAGUUGAGUUAAUUUCACUGCUGAAUUUGGAAACCUUGUGUUCUUAUUUUUCUAGAGUAAAAAAAAAAAAAAA